GACGGGGACCCGCACAAGCGGUGGAGCAUGUGGUUUAAUUCGAAGCAACGCGAAGAACCUUACCAGGCCUUGAGAUCCAGAUGGCGAGGGAGUAAAGUCCCUUUUUCUUCGGAACAUCUGAGACAGGUGGUGCAUGGUUGUCGUCAGCUCGUGUCGUGAGAUGUUGGGUCAAGUCCCGCAACGAGCGCAACCCUUGCGGUCAGUAGCCAGCGAGUAAAGUCGGGCACUCUGACAGGACUGCCGGGGACAACCCGGAGGAAGGUGGGGAUGACGUCAAAUCAUCAUGCCCCUUAUGGCCUGGGCUACACACGUGCUACAAUGGCGCAUACAGAGGGAGGCGAAGGCGUGAGCCGGAGCGAAUCCCAAAAAAGGCGUCCCAGUUCGGACUGUAGUCUGCAACCCGACUACACGAAGCUGGAAUCGCUAGUAAUCGCGAAUCAGAAUGUCGCGGUGAAUACGUUCCCGGGUCUUGUACACACCGCCCGUCACACCAUGGGAGUCAGAAAUGCCCGAAGCCCGUGAGCUAACCCCUUAUACGGAUGAACCGCGAUGGUUAUGGAAUCCCGCGAGGGAUUCCAUAACAUCGAU
rnacentral:rRNA from 1 species